rnacentral:rRNA from 1 species
UACGUAGGGUGCAAGCGUUUGUCCGGAAUUAUUGGGCGUAAAGAGCUCGUAGGCGGUUCGUCGCGUCGGCUGUGAAAACCCGGAGCUCAACUCCGGGCCUGCAGUCGAUACGGGCGGACUUGAGUGUUGCAGGGGAGACUGGAAUUCCUGGUGUAGCGGUGAAAUGCGUAGAUAUCCGGAGGAACACCGGUGGCGAAGGCGGCUUCCUGGACCGACACUGACGCUGAGGCGCGAAAGCUAGGGGAGCAAACGGG